UACCUCGCACCUGUCAGAAUGGCUAAAAUCAACAACACAAGAAACAAGAGCUGCCACUGUAGUGACCAGCUUUGCAAGGACCUGGACUGACUUCACACAGAUGCAACAUGACAGCCCUGCGCCCUGGACCGAAGCCACACCACCCCCCUGUCUCCUAUCCUGUGGGCUGCUCUGUUGACAUUGCUUUGGGACAUUAACUCUGAAAUCUCAUCACUGUCAUCAAUAAAAAAGCAUGGCAAUCUG